ACAAGGUUUCCGUAGGGUGACCUGCGGAAGGAUCAUUG
rnacentral:rRNA from 1 species